GAUGAAGAACGUAGCGAAAUGCGAUAAGUAGUGUGAAUUGCAGAAUUCAGUGAAUCAUCGAAUCUUUGAACGCACAUUGCGCCCCUUGGUAUUCCAUGGGGCAUGCCUGUUUGAGCGUCAUUUGUACCUUCAAGCUUUGCUUGGUGUUGGGUGUUUGUCUCGCCUUUGCGUGUAGACUCGCCUUAAAAUAAUUGGCAGCCGGCGUAUUGAUUUCGGAGCGCAGUACAUCUCGCGCUUUGCACUCAUAACGACAGCGUCCAAAAGUACAUUUUACACUCUUGACCUCGGAUCAGGUAGGGAUACCCGCUGAACUUAAGCAUAUCAAUAAGCGGAGGA
rnacentral:misc_RNA from 1 species